CUCUAGCCCAUAUGAAUAUAUAAGCAAUGAUAGCUUGUGAUUAGAAAGCAAUGGCCUUUCAUAUUAAUAAGCAGGAAAUGGGGACUGCAGGAUUACAGGAUCCCUUGGAAAUCUGAAUUGAAUCUAGCAGGAUAACCUCAAUCUNNNNNNNNNNNNUACGCUUCUACUGCAGUAACUGCUUCUUCAUCAGUAGAGUCGGGUGAUAUGAUUUCUUCUAUAGGUUCUCCACAAGUAGCUUCUGUUCCCUCUUCCUUACUUGAGCCGAAAUCAAGUAGCUCUUGCCUGAGCUUUAUCACAAGUUCUUCCCGUGCAACAUCAUUUUCAGCCAGAAACCGUCUAAGGGCUUCCCUCCCAUGGAAAUUCUGACCAUUAUAAUUGUAAAAUGAACCAGCCUUGCCAAGGAAUUUGUGUUUUACUCCCAAAUCUAUGAUCUCUGNNNNNNNNUCCCUUUCCAAACUCAAGUUCAAAUUGGAAAGUUUUAAAUGGGGGAGCAAGCUUAUUCUUU
rnacentral:misc_RNA from 1 species